UACGAAGGGGGCUAGCGUUGCUCGGAAUUACUGGGCGUAAAGCGCGCGUAGGCGGACCUGCAAGUCGGGGGUGAAAGCCCGAGGCUCAACCUCGGAACUGCCUUCGAUACUGCGGGUCUCGAGUCCGGGAGAGGUGAGUGGAAUUCCUAGUGUAGAGGUGAAAUUCGUAGAUAUUAGGAAGAACACCAGUGGCGAAGGCGGCUCACUGGCCCGGUACUGACGCUGAGGUGCGAAAGCGUGGGGAGCAAACAGG
rnacentral:rRNA from 1 species